ensembl:lncRNA
UCUACUAUGGUCUACUAUACUCUAGUCUCUACUCUGGUCUACUCUGCUCUAGUCUCUUCUCUGGUCUACUCUGCUCUAGUCUCUACUCAACUCUCUACUCAACUCUACUUUACUCUAUACUGAUUCUAAGGGGUUGGGUUAAAUGCGGAAGACACAUUUUAGGUGAAUGCAUUCAGUUGUACAACUGACUAGGUAUCCCCCUUUCCCUAUACAACUGACUAGGUAUCCCCCUUUCCCUAUACAACUGACUAGGUAUCCCCCUUUCCCUAUACAACUGACUAGGUAUCCCCCUUUCCCUAUACAACUGACUAGGUAUCCCCCUUUCCCUAUACAACUGACCAGGUAUCCCCC